GAUGAACGCUAGCUACAGGCUUAACACAUGCAAGUCGAGGGGCAGCAUUUUAGUUUGCUUGCAAACUGAAGAUGGCGACCGGCGCACGGGUGAGUAACACGUAUCCAACCUGCCGAUAACUCCGGGAUAGCCUUUCGAAAGAAAGAUUAAUACCGGAUAGUAUACGAAUAUCGCAUGAUAUUUUUAUUAAAGAAUUUCGGUUAUCGAUGGGGAUGCGUUCCAUUAGUUUGUUGGCGGGGUAACGGCCCACCAAGACUACGAUGGAUAGGGGUUCUGAGAGGAAGGUCCCCCACAUUGGAACUGAGACACGGUCCAAACUCCUACGGGAGGCAGCAGUGAGGAAUAUUGGUCAAUGGGCGCGAGCCUGAACCAGCCAAGUAGCGUGAAGGAUGAAGGCUCUAUGGGUCGUAAACUUCUUUUAUAUGGGAAUAAAGUUUUCCACGUGUGGAAUUUUGUAUGUACCAUAUGAAUAAGGAUCGGCUAACUCCGUGCCAGCAGCCGCGGUAAUACGGAGGAUCCGAGCGUUAUCCGGAUUUAUUGGGUUUAAAGGGAGCGUAGGUGGAUUGUUAAGUCAGUUGUGAAAGUUUGCGGCUCAACCGUAAAAUUGCAGUUGAAACUGGCAGUCUUGAGUACAGUAGAGGUGGGCGGAAUUCGUGGUGUAGCGGUGAAAUGCUUAGAUAUCACGAAGAACUCCGAUUGCGAAGGCAGCUCACUAGACUGUCACUGACACUGAUGCUCGAAAGUGUGGGUAUCAAACAGGAUUAGAUACCCUGGUAGUCCACACAGUAAACGAUGAAUACUCGCUGUUUGCGAUAUACAGUAAGCGGCCAAGCGAAAGCAUUAAGUAUUCCACCUGGGGAGUACGCCGGCAACGGUGAAACUCAAAGGAAUUGACGGGGGCCCGCACAAGCGGAGGAACAUGUGGUUUAAUUCGAUGAUACGCGAGGAACCUUACCCGGGCUUAAAUUGCAACAGAAUAUAUUGGAAACAGUAUAGCCGUAAGGCUGUUGUGAAGGUGCUGCAUGGUUGUCGUCAGCUCGUGCCGUGAGGUGUCGGCUUAAGUGCCAUAACGAGCGCAACCCUUAUCUUUAGUUACUAACAAGUGAUGCUGAGGACUCUAGAGAGACUGCCGUCGUAAGAUGUGAGGAAGGUGGGGAUGACGUCAAAUCAGCACGGCCCUUACGUCCGGGGCUACACACGUGUUACAAUGGGGGGUACAGAAGGCGGCUACCUGGUGACAGGAUGCUAAUCCCAAAAACCUCUCUCAGUUCGGAUCGAAGUCUGCAACCCGACUUCGUGAAGCUGGAUUCGCUAGUAAUCGCGCAUCAGCCAUGGCGCGGUGAAUACGUUCCCGGGCCU
rnacentral:rRNA from 1 species